rnacentral:rRNA from 1 species
CACCGCGGUUAUACGAGAGGCUCAGGUUGAUAAUUAACGGCGUAAAGAGUGGUUAAAUUAACAACAAAACUAAGGCCGAAAAUUUUCACAGCUGUUAUACGCACUCGAAGAUAAGAAGCUCAACUACGAAAGUGACCUUAUAUGUUUGAACCCACGAAAGCCAAGACA